rnacentral:rRNA from 1 species
UACGUAGGGUGCAAGCGUUAAUCGGAAUUACUGGGCGUAAAGCGCGCGUAGGCGGCUUUGCAAGUCGAUUGUGAAAUCCCCAGGCUUAACCUGGGAACUGCAUUCGAGACUGCAUAGCUAGAGUAUGGGAGAGGGAAGUGGAAUUUCAGGUGUAGCGGUGAAAUGCGUAGAUAUCUGAAGGAACAUCAGUGGCGAAAGCGACUUCCUGGACCAAUACUGACGCUCAUGUGCGAAAGCGUGGGGAGCGAACGGG